rnacentral:precursor_RNA from 14 species
AUUUAUUUCCACUGUUCUAGGGGGCUGGUUCAGGUAUUGGAAAAAGCACGUUGAACUCCCUAGACAAAUGUACUUUUCCCAAUGCCGGGGCCAUCUUCUAACACAGCGUCGUCAAUGGCU